GGAGGGGAGCAAGCUCCAUGCGUCAGUUCCCGCCAAAUUGUAGCUCUUUCGAGCGAGGACGUGCUGACUGAAACACUGCACAGAGACGGGCAAGCACUCAGAGGCAUUUCGUUUGCCUUGAUCCUGGAGGCGGCCUUCUCCCAUUGCCGAGGAUUUGAAGCGAACUCCUGGCAGAUCAGAAAUGUUCAGGCGAACGGCGGUUAUAUUUGUCUGUGGACCCAAGACUUCGCUGACGGGCAAAUAUGUCAGAUUUUCUUGUUUUUUAUUUGUGGCAUCUUAUUGUAAAGCCGUGACAUAUUUUGCCGUUUUCUCUAGGGAACCCUGCAACAAGGACUGUAGUGUGAAUAGCGUGCUGCGCUGCUCUCGCCAACUGAAAAGAACUCUGGUGUGCUGUAAAUGCCGACUGCACAAUAUGUGACUGGCCCGCGGCUGCUUUGAAGGUAAGAUUGUGUUCUCAUUAAUCUAUUUAUUGUACCAUUUGUUUUCCAGUGACAUAGCCAACAACGAAAACCUCGAUCCAUCCUCUCUCCACAUAUUAUCUAGUUUGUGCGCUGUGGAGCUUGAAGCACUUCUCGGAAUUUCAGCACACUCGCAUUUAUUUUUUUCCCGACAGAAGAAAAAUGCAAGUCUAACAUCUCGACGGUAAAACGUCGCAUCUGCGCACGUGUUCAGGGCCAAGAGCACGAGAAGUGGCCGAAAGAAGGGAGCCGAUCCAACAGGAAUGCCGUCCGUCUUUAUAUUUAUAUAUGUCAGCGUUAUCAUGCCGUGAUCACAUGGACUGUACGGUUGCGUUGCACAAGGGCUGAUGCAAACGCUCCGUGCGAACAAUGUUGCAUGGAAAAUUAGUGCAUCUAUACAAUUGCAAAAUAAAGA